AUACAGAGGGUGCAAGCGUUAUUCGGAAUUACUGGGCGUAAAGCGCGCGUAGGCGGAUGAUUAAGUCAGUUGUUAAAGCCCUGGGCUCAACCUAGGAACUGCAUCUGAUACUGGUCGUCUAGAGUUUAAGAGAGGGAAGUGGAAUUCCAGGUGUAGCAGUGAAAUGCGUAGAUAUCUGGAGGAACAUCAGUGGCGAAGGCGACUUCCUGGCUUAAAACUGACGCUGAGGUGCGAAAGCGUGGGUAGCGAACGGGAUUAGAAACCCUAGUAGUCC
rnacentral:rRNA from 1 species